rnacentral:lncRNA from 1 species
UGGGUUGUAUGAAUAAUUUAAUUGCUUCAGUUCUAUAUAUACCGCGUCCCACAUGUUUCAUCAAGUGUCAGAUAAUACAGAACCUACUUCGCCAAAAUGAAGAAAAUUGAGGUCAGUAUAAAUUCCAAACACACCAUCAAACCAUCAUCUUCCUCUACACCACUACAGCCUUACAAGCUUACCCUCCUGGACCAGCUCACUCCUCCAACGUAUGUCCCUAUGGUAUUCUUCUACCCCAUUACUGACCAUGUCUUCAAUCUUCCUCAAACCCUAGCAGACUUAAGACAAGCCCUUUCCGAGACUCUCACUUUGUACUAUCCACUCUCUGGAAGGGUCAAAAACAACCUAUACAUCGAUGAUUUUGAAGAGGGUAUCCCAUACCUUGAGGCUCGAGUGAAUUGUGACAUGACUGAUUUUCUAAGGCUUCGGAAAAUCGAGUGCCUAAAUGAGUUUGUUCCAAUAAAAACAUUUAGUAUGGAAGCAAUAUCUGAUGAGCGUUACCCCUUGCUUGGAGUUCAAGUCAACAUUUUGGACUCUGGAAUAGCAAUCGGUGUCUUCAUCUCUCACAAGCUCAUCGAUGGAAGAACGGCAUACUGUUUUCUCAAGUCCUGGGGUGCUGUUUUUCGAGGGUGUCGUGAAGAUGUCAUACAUCCUAGUCUCUCUGAAGCAGCAUUGCUUUUCCCACCGAGAGAUGACUUGCCUGAAAAGUAUGCCGGUCAGAUGGAAGGGUUAUGGUUUGCCGGAAAGAAUGUUGCUACAAGGAGAUUUGUAUUUGGUGCGAAAGUCAUAUCUUCAAUUCAAGAUGAAGCGAAGAGCGAGUCCGUGCCCAAGCCAUCACGAGUUCAGGCCGUCACUGGUUUUCUCUGGAAACAUCUAAUCGCUGCUUCUCGGGCACUAACAUCAGGUAAAAUCAGUUUAUCAACAAGCCAAAUAAUAAAGCCUAAUGUAUUUGGGGUACUUAUUUAUAUAUUUUUAUUACGUAUAUCUAGUGUACUGUGUACAUAGCUCAAAGAAUGAGAAAAUAUAUGAACUUGCAGGUACUACUUCAACAAAACUUUCUAUAGCAGCCCAGGCAGUGAACAUAAGAUCACGGAUGAACAUGGAGACGGUGUUGGAUAAUGCCACUGGAAACUUGAUGUGGUGGGCACCGGCCAUACUACAGCCAAGUCAUACAACACCAGAGAUUAGUGAUCUUAAGCUGUGUGACUUGGUUAACUUGCUCAAUGGAUCUGUCAAACAAUGUAACGGUGAUUACUUUGAGACUUUCAAGGGUAAAGAGGGAUAUGGAAGAAUGUGUGAGUAUCUAGAUUUUCAGAGGACUAUGAGUUCUAUGGAACCAGCACCAGAGAUUUAUUUAUUCUCGAGCUGGACUAAUUUUUUCAAUGCACUUGAUUUUGGAUGGGGGAGGACAUCAUGGAUUGGAGUUACGGGAAAAAUUGAAUCUGCAUUUUGCAAUUCCACAAUGUUGGUUCCAACACAAUGCGAUAAUGGAAUUGAAGCAUGGGUGAAUCUAGAAGAAGAGAAAAUGGCUAUGCUAGAACAAGAUCCCCAGUUUCUAGCGGUAGCAUCUCCAAACCCCCCAAUUUCAAGGUGUUGAUUAAAAAAGAUUAUGUGGCUCGUGCAAUGUUUCGAUUUUGUAGUGAAUAAGGUUUAAAUUAGUUCACCAGCCAAUCAAUAAGAUGCAAGUAUGAUAGACUCUGUCUACGUAUGUUAUCCGAAUGUGUUUUCGAUAUGCUUGUAACCAAUAUAGCUCUUGUUUGUAAUAAUGCUCUGUUAAGCUUCUAUCUAUAAAGUUAUUUCUCUUGAUUAAAGAAAAAACUAUACAAGUUUUGUUAAGCUUUAUUCUAUUUUUAAGAUAGGAUGUAUGUAGUACCUAUAAAGAUGGUUCACCUAUUAUUAUUUUCAAAUACAUGAUUAUCCGGUACAAUUACGUAGAAUAUUUCUAUAGCUAAAAAAAUGUAAUUUUGAUCCGUGACAACAUGAUUAAAAAAUUACAUAUUCUGAUACAUUUGUUCUCUAACGACAAGCAUGGCCAUAAUGCCUCACCUGAUCAUCUAUGUGAUGGGGUAGUGUCCUUUCUUUUUAAGAGAAGGUAGGCACCUAAUGUGAAGGCCUCUACGAGAGACUAAUAUUGUCUGAUCUUCUUUUGUUCAUCAAAUUAAAGAAACGAAAAUGGCCACAAUGCCUCACUAUUGAUAGAAGAUAGAACCAUACAAUAAUUUGGAACAUAUGCAUGGAGACAAGGAAAUAUAACACAAUAAAACCAUUAUAAUUUCACUUUAUGUGGGAAACUUGGCCAAAACCGAAUCACAUCCACGUUGGCAACAAAAAGUGACUGGAAAAAAAGAGCCCCCAAAAAGCUAAAACACUAUAAAAACCAGAAAACUUGAAUAAGCGAAAAACCAAAAGUAUGACAUUUACACACACACUCUAUCUCUCUCUCAAAGUCUGAAAACUUGCGCAAUAAGGUACCUAGCUCUCUGGUCUUUUCUUUCUAAUGCAUAUAAGUCCCUGUAAAUUUUAUGGCUUUUGGAAUGAUGAUUUUAUGCUUGUGGAUCUCAGAUGGGUUUGUUUUGUUUUGGGAUUUUUAUAAAUGAAUCCAUUGAAAAUGUUGAAAGCUUAUGCCUUUGUUCCUUGGUUCACUGUUCUGGUUUUGUAAAUUGUGUGUACGAGAGUUGAAAUGUUGGUUUUGGUAAAGAGAAAUGUUCUAUAACCAUGUAAGUUAUCUUCUAAAGUUGUUCGAGUACUGCAUAGGAAAUAACGACCUAAACUGCUAGAUGCUCUGAGAAACUUAAUUAUCCGAUUCGUUGUGAUAAAUUAAUAGAACCAUCAAUAGCCGUGAUAGUCCCUUAAUAUUUGGUGGCUAAUUAGCAAUGCAUUCAUGGUAGUUGCAUGUGCUUAUUUUGUGCAGUAUUCUAAUUCUAUCACUUGCAAAAUCGUUGUGGAAGGUCAAGAGGAGAAAACUGAAAAUGGGGCAGCAUGCAUCUCAUUUUAUUUUUUUAUGCAAUAGAGCCCUAUAUAUAAAAUAAAUAAUGUAUCUAUAACCUUCUCUAAUUAAUUUACUUAGUAAUUGACGCAAUUUGGCCGAACUGUUUCUAAACACACUAAGCUUCAGUUCUAUAUAUACCACGUACCACAUGUAUGAAUUCAUCAAGUGUCUGAUAAUACUAAACCUACUUCGACAAAAUGGAGAAAAUUGAGGUCAGUAUAAUUUCCAAACACACCAUCAAACCAUCAGCUUCCACUCCACGACUUCAGCCUUACAAGCUUACCCUCCUGGACCAGCUCACUCCUGCAAUGUAUGUCCCCAUGGUAUUCUUCUACCCCAUUACUGAUCCUGUCUUCAAUCUUCCUCAAACCCUAGCUGACUUAAGACAAGCCCUUUCCGAGACUCUCACUUUGUACUAUCCACUCUCUGGAAGGGUAAAAAACAACCUAUACAUCGAUGAUUUUGAAGAGGGUGUCCCAUACCUUGAGGCUCGAGUGAAUUGUGACAUAACUGAUUUCCUAAUGCUUCGGAAAAUCGAGUGCCUAAAUGAGUUUGUUCCAAUAAAAACAUUUAGUAUGGAAGCAAUAUCUGAUGAGCGUUACCCUUUGCUUGGAGUUCAAGUCAACAUUUUCGACUCUGGAAUAGCAAUCGGUGUCUCCGGCUCUCACAAGCUCAUUGAUGGAAGAACGGCAGACUGUUUUCUCAAGUCCUGGGGUGCUGUUUUUCGAGGGUGUCGUGAAGAUAUCAUACAUCCUUGUCUCUCUGAAGCAGCAUUGCUUUUCCCACCGAGAGAUGACCUGCCUGAAAAGUAUAUAGCUUUGAUGGAAGGGUUACGGUUUGCCGGAAAAAAAGUUUCUACGAGGAGAUUCGUAUUUGAUGCGAAAACCAUAUCUGCAAUUCAAGAUGAAGCGAAGAGCGAGUCCGUGCCCAAGCCAUCACGAGUUCAGGCCGUCACUGGUUUUCUCUGGAAACAUCUAAUCGUUGCUUCUCGGGCACUAACAUCAGGUAAAAUUAGUUUAUCAACAAGCCAAAUAAUAAAGCCUAAUGUAUUUGGGGUACUUAUUUAUAUAUUUUUAUUACGUAUAGCUAGUGUACUGUGUACAUAGCUCAAAGAAUGAGAAAAUAUAUGAACUUGCAGGUACUACUUCAACAAAACUUUCUAUAGCAGCCCAGGCAGUGAACAUAAGAUCACGGAUGAACAUGGAGACGGUGUUGGAUAAUGCCACUGGAAACUUGAUGUGGUGGGCACCGGCCAUACUAGAGCUAAGUCAUACAACACCAGAGAUUAGUGAUCUUAAGCUGUGUGACUUGGUUAACUUGCUCAAUGGAUCUGUCAAACAAUGUAACGAUGAUUACUUUGAGACUUUCAAGGGUAAAGAGGGAUAUGAAAGCAUGUGUGAGUAUCUAGAUUUUCAGAGGAUUAUGAGUUCUAUAGAACCAACACCAGAGAUUUAUACAUUCUCGAGCUGGACCAGUUUUUUCAACCAACUUGAUUUUGGAUGGGGGAGGUCAUCUUGGAUUGGAGUUACAGGAAAAAUUGAAUCUGCAUAUUGCAAUUCCACAGUGUUGGUUCCAACACAAUGCGAUACUGGAAUUGAAGCGUGGGUAAGUCUAGAAGAAGAGAAAAUGGCUACGCUAAAACAAGAUCCCCAGUUUCUAGCGGCAGCAUCUCCAAACCCCCCAGUUUCAAGGUGUUGAUUAAAAAAGAUUAUGUGGCUCGUGCAAUGUUUCUAUUUUGCAGUGAAUAAGGUUUAAAUUAGUUCACCCGUCGAUCAAUAAGAUGCAAGUAUGAUAGAUAUGUUAUUCGAAUGUGUUUCGAUAUGGUUGUAACCAAUUAAUAUAGCUCUUGUUUGUAACAAUGCUCUAUUAAGCUUCUAUCUAUAAAGUUAUUUCUCUAUUAAAAAAAAAACUAUGGAAGUGUUACCAAGCUUUGUUCUGUUUCAAAGGUAAGAUGCAUAUACUACCCGAAAAUAAUGUUCACCUAUCAUAAUUCUUCCACAUGAAAACCCGGUAAGAAUCACAUAAAAUAUUUCUAAUACUUUAGAAUCUAAUUUGGGUUUGUGACAACAUAAUUGAAGAGGUACAUAUUCUGAUACAUUCGUUAUUUAACGACAAGCAUGUACAUAAUACCUAACCUAGGAGGAGGGUGUACGUAGUGUUCUCUCUCCUUAAGAAGGCCUGCCUUUCGCGAAGGCCUCUUUCAAAGGACUGAUAUAAUAUAAUCUUCUUCUUUUUUUAAUCAAAAGAAACGAAAAUGGCUUCAUUGUUCAUAAUUUGGAAUAUAUGGUGGAUUGUACGGUGUUGUUUUGAGGGAGCUUCUCUCUCGGGUCAAGGGUUUCCAAUGGAUUUGUGCAAUGAGAUUUGAUUGGCAACAGUUAUUCGGGCAUCAACGCUCCAAUUUAGCACUCCUCAGUCCUCACUACCUCAUUGUUGUUGACGAUGGCGAUGACGACAUUAGCGAGCAUGGGUGAUGUGUGUGGCAUAUUUGUUUGUAUUGUUGCAUUAUUGCUUUCGGAUGUAAGGGCUUCGCCCUAUAGAUUAGCGAGCAAUUGGUCUCCUCUCAUUCUUUCUACCUUGAUCGAGUUGGAGAUCCAUGCACUUUAUUUGUAGUACUUUUUUUGGCCUCGCGUUUGCAAGCUUUGAAAUUCCCGUGAUUAAGGAAUUAUUCAUUUUUUACAAAAAAAAAGAAGAAGAUUUUUUCCUGAAAAAUAACACAACAACCAUCAUAAUUUCACUUUAUGUGGGAAAUUUAGCCAAAUCCGAAUCACAUCCACGUCGGCAACAGAGAGUGACUUGAAAGAAGUGCACCCAGAAAGCUAAAAAACCAUAAAAACUAGAAAACUUGAAUAAGGAAAAACUAAAGUAUGACAUUCCAAUCUAUUGUUUUAUGGUUUUUGAAGGAUUCAAAUUUGUCAACCACUUUUUACUUGACCACCUUAAUGACCACUAUCUAGAUUGGUGAUACGUGUCUUUUCAAAUUAUUUUACUUUAUUGUUUUAUUGUUGAUAAAAAAAAUAAACAUGUGUCACCAAUCUAAAUAGUGGUCAUUGAGAUGAUCAAGUAAAAGUGGUUGACAAAUUUGAAUCCAUUUCUUAUUGCGGUUUUGUUCUGCCAAAUCCAAAUCCCAUGACCCAAUCAUUUACACUCCCUCUCAAUCUCUGCAAAACUGACUGCUUCCCUUGAAAACGUGCGCAAUAAGGUACCUAGCUCUCUGCCCUUUUCCUUGUAAUGCAUUCAAGUCCCUGUAAAUUUUGUGGUUUUUGGUAAUGAUUUUAUGCUUGUGGAUCUCAAAUGGGUUUGGGUUUGUUUUGUUUUGGGAUUUUUAUAAAUGAAUGCAUUGGAAAUGUUAAAGCUUAUGCGUUUGUUCCAUGAUUCAGUGUUCUGCAAUUUGUGCCUUCUCUUCCGGAUCUGAUGUACGUGAUGUUCUAGCUAGUUGUCUUUUGGAUUGAAAAGAUAUUAUCUUUUGAUUGUUUUUGAUAGAACAUCAACAUCAAUCAUCAAUGAGAUGAAUCUGAAGUAGGUUAUUAGUUUGGAGAUAUGUUAAUGGUUAAUGAAUCAAGCUGAAGUUGUUCUGGUUAUUGGAGCAAUAGGUUCCAUACUGAAGCAUCUAAUUUUGAAUUUGCAAAGAGUGGUUGACGAGUUAUCCUUGGGAUUGGCGGGUGACAUUGAAAAAGUCUUGGUUUUGUGUAUAAGAGUUGAAAUGUGAUUUCUUUACUGUUACCAUGAUGUGGGUUCUACUAAAAGACUCGUUCUUGAAUCUGGGGUCAUGUCCUGUGAUGACUCAAUUCUUGCAAAACACAACUGAGAUGUGUCAAAAUGGGUUCGGGAGCGUCUUUAUAUAUCGAAGUAUCAUGAGUUUCGAUACUAAGUGAGGGUGCUGGAUAGAAUUGAGUUUGGAGGUUCAAUGCUUCAAAAACAAAGAAGCUAGAGGGAACGUAAUUCUUGAUGAUUCAAGACGGAUCAAUGACCUUGUAAUUAAGUUGCUUAUGUGCAAUUGUUGAGCUUAUGGUGUUUCCAGUUUGGAUACGGAUAGCUAUUUCUGUUUUCAGUAUAACCACCAUGUGUUGCAUCCUCUUACUCUUCAUCUUCAUUUACCUAUCUUUGAUCUGAUGUUCCAUUGGCAGAGCUCCCUUAUGCUAAACUGUAAAACCUGCAUUCCAGGUGGUCAUUCUGUUAGAACUUUGGAAGGUCUCGGAAAGGAAACACUCGUCGACAAAUUUUGGGAGCAGUUGCAUAAAAGGAAUGGUCUCCCAACUCGGAGAUAAUGGAGACGCGUACUGGAAAUUCCCGUCCCAAUAAAAAGCAAUCGUCGGAGAAGUCUAAAUCUGCCACUGAAGAGAAAAGGCCUGCAGAAAAGAAGCAAACACUUCUGUGUUUGUCAACUAUGGUAAGUUCAUUAGAUAGUAAGUACUGAGUUUUCUAACAUCGGUGUAACACCAUGCAACUAACUCAGUACUGUAGAAUAGACAUCUAUGUUAGUCUCUUUAGAUAAUAUGCACACUUUAACUUUUCAAAUGACGUCCUGCAUUAGUUAGUCAACUGUUCAAAAUCUCGUAGGUUACAAUUUUCCCAUCUCCAAAACCAAGUGUCCAUAAUCUUUUUCCCUCUUUGUUCACUAAACUAGUAAACUCCUCGUUUAGAUUAAUGUUCUAAAUCUUUUAGUUUUUGUUCCAUCUUGACAUAACUUGUGGCUCAUUACCUACGUUGCAUGGAAUCGGAAGCGGAAACGUGGAAGCGAAGCGUUUGGAAGCGCGGAAGCGAUUUUUUUGAAAAUAAUUUGGAAGCGAAAGCGUUUUAGAAAUGUGAGAAUCAAAAUAAUAUAUACAAAUAACAAAUAUAUAUCACCUAAUUUUAAUUUCAUUCAUUUAUUUUAAUCGUUAAUUUUAAUAAGUUGUACAAAUUAGUUUGAUUGUUUAGCAGAUAACAACUCAUUCUUAAAAAAAAAAGAUAUCACUAAACCUUAUAAAAAUAAACUUCUUCACUAAAAAAAAGUCCACCAUGAAAUAUUGAAAGCACACGUCUCUCUAAUCUCUACACCUUUUAAUCUUCUUUCUUCACCUCUCUAUGCUCUCUCACCCUCCAGGUUGCCGUCAUCUUCUUUAACUUCAUUCUCUCUCACUCCUCUCCCUCCCUCCAGUUUCAAAUCCUUUCUUAACAGGUCCUCAAGCAGAAGAUCUGAUUGAUUAUAGAUUUCGAAAGAGAUAGAGAGAAGAUUGAUGUGCCGCUGAAUCAGUUCUCGUGCAGUGGACCAUCGCGCUUCCAAAUCAAAAUCGUGAGCUUCCAUAUUGGAAGCAUGCGCUUCCGUCGUGCUUCCAAAACCCUCUUUUCCCGGAAUCACGAUUCCGGGCGCUUCCGAGCGCUUCCACGGCGUUUCCGCUUCGCUUCCGCUUCGGAAGCGGGCGAGUGGCCCGGCGCUUCCGUGCUUCCUAGCUCAUUACUGCCCUGUAAACCAACUACGGCCGAGUUGUACCAAAAGGAAAUUCGGCCUCUCAUCAAUGAGUAAAGGUUUUUUUUUUUUUUUUCUUCCUUUUGUGGGGGAAGAAGAAGUAUGCAAUAAUUUUGGAAGUAACAUAUCCCCUAUCACCAUUCCUUGCAACAAGCAAUUACUUCUGGCAUUUUGUGGUUGAUGUUGAUCAUUUUGUAACUUUUGUUCUUUCAUGAUAAUAAAGCUAAUUUCUCAUGUAGCUGCAAUUGCUUGGCAUGAGAGUAGAAGAAAGUGGAUAGGGGAUCAGCGGCUGCAAAGAAUGGCCAAGGAUCCAAUUAUAAGGUAUUUUUUCCUCACAAAGGUUCCUGGAUAGAAUGGGGUUAGCAAGUCAUGGUUAAAGAGUUGCACCUUAAAGUUUAAUAACAAAAGAAAAGUUGGAGAGCAUAACUGCCAUAACUUAUAUUCUUUGUAGGUACAAAUGAACUCAUUAACACUGGUGUGUCAGUUUUUAGGAAAUUACACUUAUAUUUGAGUAUCUGUCACUCUGUCCACUACUUGCACCCUGACUUGCUGAUCUGUAAAUCCUAGAUUUUUCAAAAUUGCUCCUUUAGUCCUUUUGUUUGGUGUGUGUCCAUAUUAGUAGCUUUGUCCAUUUAUGCUGUUAAAUUGUAGCUGCUAUAUGAAUGUCAGGAAGUUAAAUGUGAAAACUAUAUGCUGCAUAUUAUAGCACCAUUGUAAUGAUUGAUGAUAUUAGUGUCUUUGUCCAAUUAUUUUCUGUUCAAUUAUUGCUACUUCUUGAAGAUAAUGUGGAAAGUUUAUGUUUCAGCUGGUCAACAGCCUAUGAGGAUCUACUCUCAACCAAUGAGUGUUUUUCUGAGCCGAUCCCCUUAACUGUAAGUCGAUCAUAUAAUAGCACAUACCUGUCCAAUAAAUAUCUUCUGAUAAGUCAUAUAUCUCUAUUACUUGUGUUUAUUUGACAUUGGAAAUAUUUUCUAAAGUUUGAUGUUUUUAUAAAAUUGGUUUUAAGCAUGUUUUCAUACUGGAGCUCCACUUUAUGUUUUCAAAAGUCAUGGGUAGUUUUCUUGAGCAGCGAGGACGAAAACUCAUCCCUACAACAGUUUGUGGAUGCAUGUAUUGUGCACUGGGACAAGAUAAUGGCGAGGAGUUGGGUGUGCAUGUUUGUGAUCGGUAAUUUAUUUUCUAUGCUUACAUGUUUAUUUUUAGACUCAAGUUACAUGUUUAAAUUGUAUUCUGUUGGCCUUGUUAUAAUCUCAUCCGUGAUUCUAUUAAUGAAGCUUGUUAAUUACUGGCCAUUCCUUAUAUCAAGUUUUAUACGAACAUAAGAGUCUAAUCCUGAUAUGAUUUUGUCUUGUGAGACUCUCAUUGCAAUUUGUAUUCUUUUGAGUUCAUUAUUUCUUAACGUUUAUUGUGUUAGGUUUUAGACGAAUGACUUUACCUUAAGCAAAUUAAAUAUUUUUCUUUUACAUACACCUCAAAUAGUUUUACGCUUCCGUGGUGUUUGCUUAAAUGAUUUCUUAAAUAAACUGUCUUGCGUUUCUCUUGGUUUUUAUUUUAGAGACAUGCGGCACUGUGACGUGUCUAAACUAAGGAGGCGUAGUUUGGGGCGUUACAGAUUUAAUCUUUACACACUAUGAGAAUAUCAAAAUAUCACGAUAUUUGUGCAAAACUCACGAAAUCUUGUUAUUAAAUCAGCCGAAGUCAUCAUAUAUAGUCAUUAACUCGGGCCAAACUUAUAAAAUUAACACUAAAGUCUUGGCGCAGCUAACAUGAUUUGAACCCAGGUUGCCACAUGUUUGUAACAUCCUGAAAUUUCAAAUUUUUAUUUUUAAAAGGAAAGUUAUUUUUAUUUCGAUUUCUAUUAUUCUUUUAAAUUCUUUAUAGUUUUUGAAAAUUAUUCAAAUUUUGUUUUUGGAGCCCAUCGGAUUAAACUAGAGGCCGUGAUGAAUUUGUGGGAUUUUUCGGAACACCGUUUGGAUAUCGGAUAUAUUUUUAAUGAUUUUUAGAAGUUGGUAUUAUCUAAAAAUUUAAUUAAAAAUAGAAAAUCAAGGUCGGUCAAAUUUGGUCCGUCCAGAUUAUAUGGGUAUGGAUCAACUUGGACUUCAUUAUACCCAGUCCCAGACCGACUCCGUCUCCAGCCUCUAUCAGCGACGGAGACCUCCGGUCACUCCUCCGUUGUCCGGCCGUCUCCCGCCGCAAAACGACUGUCUACAGCUCUGUCUCGACGUCCCCGACCUCCCUGGGAUUCCAGCUUGAUGAGUGGAGCUCCGGAAAAGGAGGAGAGAAGGCGACUGUGUUUCCGAUCGGGUUUCCGAUUCCGGUGACGGCGGCGAGCGUGAAUGGUACUGGAAGCAUCCUCUCGUCCUCGUGGUCUUCCCUAUGUCCUCAGUUUCUUCAGAAGAGGUCGGGAGAGAGAGAUUCGAAGUGGAGAAGGAGAGGCUGGGUUCGCCGGCGAGUUUCCGAUUCCGGCCAAGUCGAGGUUUCUCACUGGUAUGAAUAGCUUCAUGUCGGUCUCGGGAACCUUUCCAUGUUGGUGGUUUUCGAAGAGAAGCUCGGAGGAGGGAGAAUCGAAGAGGAGAAGUUUCUGAAUUUUCCGGCGAGGGUUCGACGGAUUCCGGUGAAGCUUGAUGUCGACUCAGGUAUUAAAGUUGGUCUAUUCGAUGAGCUUUACAUGUUUCUAUAAUUGAAAUUGAGAUUGGUUGGGUGUUGGAGAAGUGGGAUUUUGGACAGGUUGUCGACCACCGUGUACGGCGGCGGCGGCGGUUGUUCUUGUAGUUUCUGGCUUUUGUUAAUACAUUGAUUGUGGAGGAGUGUUUUGAGAUGUAUUAGAAUUGCAGGAACAUGAGAAUUGUAUGAAGUUGGGUUUUGAGCAGUGUGGUGUGUGGCCACUGUUCACGGCGGCUAUGGUGGUGUUUUGAAAUCAGAAGACUUGUGUGAGGGAGAGGUUGAAGAUGUGUAUUAUGUUUGGUAUGAGUGUUCAUUCAAUUGGCUUUGGUAUUUGAGAGCAGGGUGCUACGAAUAUCUUGGUUUUGUGAUCAAAGUUGAAGUAAAGCAUAUAUGUUUGUAUGGUUGUGAGAUAUGGUGGUAACUGCAGCAAUGGAUAGUUGAUCAAGGUUCACAUGAUCUUGGAACAAAUGUCCAGUCGAUAACUUUAAGAUGUAAUUGGUAUUGCUAUGCUUGAACAAUUGUGUUUCGGUGGAUUGAAGAUUUGCCGGAAGGUGUGUAGUAAGAUGGGUGUCCAAAGUAAUUGAUGGAGACUGGUGUGUUCUCUUUUGAAUUAUUGUUAGAGAAAGAUGAUUAGAGGAGUUGGGUGUAAUGAACGUUAAGUUGGCUUUGCUGGGUUGUUGUGGAGUCUUAAGAGCAGUAUGGGUACGGGAACAGAAGAAUUGGAUUUUCAUUACUUUCAUAUGGAUUUGAUGUGUUGCUGGGGAGUAGGAAACAGUAAAGGAUUUAGGUUUGGUCAUGUCUGGGUUCGUUGAUAAGUUGUUAUGCCUACAAUUAAGACAUGAGAAGAUUGAUCAAGUUUGAGAUAGGCAAAUAUAAAGGAUUUAGUAGAAAAGAGGAAUUGGGUGUAGAGAGUAAAUUCGGUGCUUAGCUUGGUGCUUGGAGCAUGGUUGGGAUACGACUAAUUAUGGGUGGCGUGUGAUUUGGUAAUUGUCGGAAAAGGUGAGCGGAAUUGGAAAUAAAGAUUUUGAUCGUUUCUAAUUAAAGUGUUUGCCGACUUUAUUGGAACAAGGAUUUGAUGUGAGGGAGCAUGUUGCAAUCCGAGGAGCAGAAUGAUAAGGAUUUCAAAAUGCGUGCCGCGGUGUUAUUAAUUUUAGUAAGCGUCGGAGUCAAGGCUUGGAUUCCAGGUAGGGUCUCUCUCAGGGAACUUUUCUUUAAAUUGAUAAUUAGGUUAUUGUUGAAAUCGGUGCAUUGUGUGGCAUUGGUUGAUAUAACUCUUGGUUGUUAUCGAUUUUGUUAAAAGCAUGUGAUAUCGUUGAUUUAUAUGAAAUUAAUGUUAUUGCUUUCCGUAAAAGCAUGAGUUGAAUGUUAUGAUAUGAGUAUUGAUAUUCAAUUGACAUGCAUAAUGCAUUGUGAGGAAUUGUGAGAAGUGAGAUUGGUGAUUCUGGAGAUGAGAAAGAGAUUGAUAGAAUAGAUACAUUUUGUGUAGUUGAGUUUCCUCAUGGGUUGUCCAAGAUCCAGGGUAGUCCACACGUGCAUAAGUUCAGGGAAUGUAUGCCAUUUCGAUGGCGGACAUCGACAAAACAAUUUUAUCGGGUUUCGGGUUUGGAGACCAUGAGUAUAACAAGAUGAUUAACAAUAGAGGUACAAGCCAUAAGAUAUUACUGAUUAUUAGAUCAUAUAUUUGAGACAUUUGUGUCACCCCCGGUUGGUAAAAUACACGGUAUGGGACGUGUAGGCUCACAUAUCUUUGAUGUAUGGACUGAUAGCCAGUAAUUGAGGAAGACAUUCAUUAGCAUACAUGUAUCAAAUUGUCGUUAUUUAUUUAAAGUAUUAUUUGAUGUUUGAUAACUUGUUUGUGCGAUGUAGUUAAUUAUAACUUAAAAAGGUUUGGCUCUUUGGCCCUACUAAGCGUAAGCUCACCCCUAUAAACUUUUGUUCAGGUACGUUUGAGGACACGUUUUUCUAGAAGCGUAACUGUGAAGUUUAGCUGACGUGUACGAGAGUAGAAGAGUUACAGAAGAUUAGAAGUCAGAUAGAUCGUAAGGGCUUAUCUUUUUGUCUUUGUAAUUGUUUUUUGUUAUUGUAAACGUUUUAUUUUCUUUUAUUUCUGGAAAAGUAUUUGAAAUUGUUUUAUUUUCUUUUACUUUUCCCGCUCAUGUCUCGGGUACGGCGUCAGGUGCUUGGAAACCACCGACACCGGGUCCGGGGUUUGAUGUAUGGACUAGCCAGUAAUUGAGGAAGACAUUCAUUAGCAUACAUGUAUCAAAUUGUCGUUAUUUAUUUAAAGUAUUAUUUGAUGUUUGAUCACUUGUUUGUGCGAUGUAGUUAAGUAUAACCUAAAAAGGUUUGGCUCUACUGAGUGUAAGCUCAUCCCUAUAGAUUUUUGUUUAGGUACGUUUGAGGAUACGUAUUUCUAGAAGCGUAACUGUGAAGUUUAGCUGACGUGUACGAGAGUAAAAGAGUUACGGAAGAUUAGAAGUCAGAUAGAUUGUAAGGGCUCAUCUUUUUGUCUUUGUAAUUGUUUUUUGUUAUUGUAAACGUUUUAUUUUCUUUUAUUUCUGGAAAAGUAUUUGAAAUUGUUUUAUUUUCUUUUAUUUUUUCCGCUCACGUCUUGGGUACGGCAUCAGGUGCUUGGAAAUCACCGACACCGGAUCCGGGGUGUGACAAUGGUAUAUCUCACAUUCUCAACCAAUCCUCCUAAGGUGAUACUUGAUUACUACAUUGAACAUUUUAUUAUAAACUCUACAUAUAUUUUCAUACUUUUAAAAUUUCUUUUCGAAAUUUUAUUAAUAUUGAUAUUUUCUAAUAUUUUUAUCAAAAUAUCUAUUUUUCAGAUAGUCAAAAUUUUCUUGAAACGUGAUAUUUUUGUAAUAUAUCGAAAUUUCAAAUUUUUAUUUUUAAAAGAAAAAUUAUUUCCGAGCUAUUUUUAUUUCGAUUUCUAUUAUUUCUUUCAAUUCUUUGUAGCUUUCGAAAAUUAUUUCAAUUUUUAGUUUGUCAAAAUUUAUCUUUUGAGUCCAUAGGAUUAACGGAAGCGUUUUCGGACAUCGGAGCUAUUUUUAAUAAUUUUUAGAAGUUAAUAUCGUCUAAAAAAAAAAUAUUUUUAAACCCGCUUGAUCUGGACCGUUGGAUCAUUUAAACCGCAAGAUCUGGGCUGGGGGAGACUGGAUCAGAUCAGUUCAGACCCAGACUGGGUCAGCCUCGAUCCAAAUAGCAGCGACGGGUGACCGGACUGCCGCUUUGUCCUCCAGCGACGGCGUGGGGAAAUCAUGGCAGCUUCGGCUUCGUCUCGGUCGCCUGAUCCUAUCUGUGGUCUCGAUUUCGUCGAUGGAGCUUCGAUGAGAGAGAAUCGAAGAAGGGUAGCUUUUUCUGGGUUUGUCGACGAGUUUACUAUUUCAGCCACGGCGGCGAGCAUGAUCGGUCUUGGUAGCUUCACCUCGACCUGUUGAACAUUUCUUUGAAGAGAAGGUCGGAGGAGGGAGAAUCGAAGAGAAGAAGUUUUUAGGUUUUAGGCAGUGUUCUUGGUGUUUUCCGGCGACCUCGGACUUCAAUUCAGGUAUCAAAGUUGGUCGACUCGUCAAGCCCUACAUCUCUAUAUAAUUGGUUUUCAUUUUUGAUUAAGUUUUGAAGAAUCGAAGUUUUGGGGUUUUACUGUGCAAUUUGAGUUUUCCUGUUUGUGUGGUGAUUUUGGUUGCCUUGGGGCGUUCUUCGAUUGGAAUUGACUUUAUGAAGUUGAUUUGAUGAUCUUAAGCCCUUGAAUUACAUAAUUGGAAAAGUUGGGUUUUGGGGCAGUGUUGUUCGGCGAUGGAAGUGGUGGUUGAUGGUUCUGGGUUUGGUUUAUGUUUUAGAUGAAAUUACAAGAGCAUUAGAACUUAAUUAUGUUGUUGUGUCGCCUGGAUUCCAUAAACGGAGAAGUUGAGUGUAAGAAAAUUAGAGUUAUGCAAUUUGGAAUUGAGCUAAGAUUGGAGUAGAUGAUAGUAUCGGGUUUUCUGCUGAUUUUGGUUUAUUGUUUGUGGUGGUGACUGCAGUAUUCUUGUUCCAUUUCCAAUCAUAUGAAAGUGCAGGAACAUGAAUUUGGAUGCUUGAUUGGUAAAAGAUGAGUUUUGGGUGGUAGGAAAUGGAGCUGUGUUAUUGGAAUAGGGAGGGGAAGAUGGUUGUGUAUAGUACUAAUACUGAACUUGGCGGAGUUGAAGGAUGCAACUAAGAACUGUUGAUUUGCGAUAUGGAACUAGGAGCUUGAUUUCAAAUGGAGAAAGUGAGUAUUGGCAAGUGCAGGAGUAGGACAACUUGAGAAGUAUAAAUUGGCUAAAGAGCUUAUGGGUGUCCUUAUCAAUUUCAAAGACUGGAUUGCAUCGACUUGAAAUCAUCAGAGUGAAUAAAUGCGGAUUAAGGAACUCAUCUGGGUGUCUUAGUAGAUUUAUGAAUUCGGUCCGGUUGACUUAAAGUGACUUAAAUUUGGCUUAAAGUGAGUUUUGCGGAUUAAGGAUUCAGGGUGUCCUUAGUAAUUUUAAGAACAUGAUCAAUUUUGGAAAUUGAUUUAGUUUAUUUGAGGUUCGACGGCUUUCUCGGUAAGGAAUUGUGACGAGGAUCGAGUGACUAUCGACUUUUUCAGAAGCAGAAGGAUAAAGAUUUCAGAAUGCGUGUCGCUGAGUUAUUAGUUUUAAUUAGCGUCAGAACUAGCGCUCGGAUUUCAGGUAUGGUCUUUCUUGGGGAACCUUUUUUUAAAUUGAUAAUUAGAUUGUUAUUGAAAUUGGUGAAUUGUUUGUCAUUGAGUGAUUAACUCUUGGAUGUUACUGCUUUCUAUAAAAGCAUGUGUAAUCGUUGAGUUAUAUGAUUGUUAUUAUCGCUUUUCUUAAAAAGUAUGUGUUGGAUGAUAUAAUAUGAGUAUUGUUAUUCGUUGCAUACAUAAUGCAUUUUGAAGAAUUAUGAGAUUAGUGAGAUUGGUGAUUAUGGAGAGGUGAGAACGAGAUCAAAAUAUACAUUUUGUACAGUUGAGUUUCCUUAUGGGUUGUCCAUAAAUCUAUGUCAUCCCACUUGCGCAAAUGAGUGGGCAAAGUAUACUCCUUCGAUGGCGGACAUCAAUAAAACGAUCUUUCGGGUUUCGGUUUUGGAGAGUAUGAGUAUAACAAGAUGACUAACAAAAGAGGUACAGGUGAUGAGAUAUUACUGAUUGUUAGAUCAUAUAUUCGAGACAUCUGAGUCACCCAUGGUUGGUAAAAUACACUGUAUGAGACGUGUAACUGAGGAAGACAUUCAUUAGCAUAUAUGCAUCUAAUUAUCGUUAUAUAUUUAAAGUAUUGUUUGAUACUUGAUAACUUGAUUGUGUGACGACAUAGUUAAAUGUAACUAAAGAGGUUUGGCCCUACUAAGCGUGAGCUCAUCCCUAUAUACUCUUAUUCAGGUUCAUACAAGGACACAUAUUUGUAGAAGACUAACUGUGACGUUUAGUUGACGUGAACGAGAGUCGAGAAGGACUACCGAAGUUUCUAGUGAGCUAAACAACAAGACUAGUUUUACCUUUAUAGUGAGCUAGACUGCAAGACUUGUUUUGUCUUUAUAAUCGGUUUUGUUUUUUGUAAUCGUUUUAUUUUCGACUAUUUCGAGAAAAAUAUUUAAAAUUAUUUUAUUUUCUUUUAUUUUUCCCGCUCACGCCUCGGAUUCGGUGUUAAGUGUUUGGAAACCACCGACACCGGGUCAGGGGUGUGACAAUUUUAGUCCUUGGUUUGAUGCCUAAGCUACUUCGCUCCUCCAAACUGGGCCGGUGUUGGAUCAAACAAACAGAAACUUGAAAGAAGGAGUCCGAUACAAGUCAUACAACUACGUUGGUCGGAGCGGAUUUUACGCAUCAAGGUGCCCUUGCACCAUUAAUCUGUAAGUUUUUAAAUCUUCGUAUGCAAAGAUUUAAUGAAGACUAGAGACCUUAAAUUCUUUUCUUUCAUUUUUAUUUUUGACCUGAUCAAAUUAAACGCCAAUAAUUAGAGUACCUCUUAUUCAAUCUCAUGUCCUCAUCUCUUGUGUUGAAAACACUUUUGAUUAUUUUUUUGAGUUUUAAUUUUGUUAAUGGUAUUAAAAUACAUGCAUGAUAAUGCGACAUAGAUGAUCGGAUCAAAACAUUGCGUAUUAAUUGCUCGAUUCACUUGUAGAAGAAUUUUCGAGCUUCGGGCCAAUAUUCCAUUUUUCUUUUUAAUAAAAAAUUCUAGCAGCUAGACAGCUAGUUAACCAAUUGUGAAGCUACACAACUGGGACUUGCAGCGGAAAACAACUACCACGCGUUGCAUGGAGAGGUUAGGUCCUGCAUGCAACUCCGCCGCCCGUAAAUCUCCUACUGACAGCUCUACCCCUCGAUUUGCAGAUACUGAUGUAAAACCCGAGGACAAAACGGUAAUCGUUGAUACUCCGAGCCAGACAUAAAACUAUCCAAGAACAAAGAGGAGACACCACAGGAAAAAUGACCGGACCGCCUCUACCUCGACCCUUUCUAACGUGCUUGGUUGGUGUAGCAGUCUUAACCUGCGCACUAACCUUCUGUGUUGCCCUAGAUGUCACCCCCCAAGACCCAAUCAUCCACCAAGUCACAGACCAUGAUACUAACAAGCUCCUUGGAACCGAGAAAGAGUUCAAGAGUUUCAUGGAGAAGUAUGAGAAGAAGUACCCUACUAGGAAGGAGUACAUGCACCGGCUAGUUGUUUUUUCCAAGAACAUGAUCAGAUCCGCCGAGCACCAAGCUCUGGAUCCGACGGCGGUUCACGGCGUCACGCCGUUCUCGGAUCUGGAGGAGGAGGAGUUCGAGAGGAUGUACACCAUUCCUCGAAAAGUUAAAGUAAUCUUUUUUAGAAAUCGAAUGGAUUCGGUCUUAUACAUACGCAAGGAAGGUAAUAAAAAAAAAGAAAGAUGAGUUCUUUUAUCACUUAGGAGCUGUGCGAGAUAAAAGUCUCAUGCACGGUUUUGAAUGAGAGAAAGAAGUGAGGAAUCCUUUUUUCGACACUGACUCUCCCACUCCAGUUGUUGCUUUUUUUUUCUUUUUUUUCUGUUACUUCAAAAGUCGUUGCUUCAGUUUCAGCCACUCGAAUUUUCGAUGUUCUUUUUUAUUUCUCAUCAAACGAAUGGCAUUUUCUUCCUAUUACUCAAACAAGCAUGAAACGUAUGCUUGCGUAUUCGUCCAUAGGUCAAAUUGGAUAUGUAAUUAUUGGAAUAAUUGUUGGAGACUCAAAUGGUGGAUAUGUAAGCAUGAUAACUUAUAUGUUGUUCUAUAUCUCUAUGAAUCUAGGAACUUUUGUUUGCAUUAUAUCAUUUGGUUAGAGGUGCGCCCGGCUUAACCAACGGCGGAGGCGGUACGGGGAGCACGGUUGAGCUUCUGGAUGUUAGCGGGUUGCCUGAGAGUUUUGAUUGGAGAGAGAAAAAGGAGCUGUUACUGAGGUCAAGAUGCAGGUAGUUUCUAAUUUUCGUUUUAUUUCUGAUUUUUUAGGUUGGACACACAAUAUAUGUGAUUAACAGUUUCGGCCGUACUUAAAUCCUAGCUUUUUGCAAAUCAAGUUAUGGCACAUACGAUAUAGAAGUCUCGUAGCUGGUUGUAAAUUACUAAAUUGUGUAAUCUGAAGUCGAUCAGCUGAUCAGGUGCUGCUGGUUCUUUUGUUUAAUUGAUUGUAUAACUAGCUUGACUUUGAGAGUUUGAAGUUUUGUACAGAAAGAUUUGUCUAAUAGAGCUAGGGUGUUUGUGGAACAUGGAAUUAUUCUUCAGGCAAGGAGUUGUAUUGUGAUACUUAAAGCCUCUAAAUCUCUUGUUAUGGAUGCAGGGUGGCUGUGGGUCGUGCUGGACCUUUAGCACAACGGGAGCUAUUGAAGGAGCCAAUUUCAUUGCCACUGGGAAGCUUGUUAGUCUCAGUGAACAGCAGCUUGUUGACUGUGAUCACCAGGUAAUUAAGCCUAGCCUCUCUGGAAUAUAUUGAAGUACUCAUUUAACUUUAGGGCGAUAAAAAUUUAAUUGAUUGAGCAUAUAUAUAAUAUUUGGCAUGCCUACUUAAUUAGUUUCGUUUAAUGUUUGUGGCAACUAUAAUCAAGUGUGAUGCAAAAGAGAAAGAUGCAUGUGAUCGUGGUUGUGGUGGCGGACUUAUGACAAAUGCCUACAAGUAUCUAAUGGAAGCAGGAGGGUUGCAAGACGAGGUUUCAUACCCUUAUACGGGGAAAAAGGGCGAAUGCAAAUUUAAUCCUGAAAAAGUAGCCGUGAGAGUAACCAAUUUCACCACUAUUCCCCUUGAUGAGAAUCAGAUUGCAGCGAACUUGGUCCACAAUGGUCCUCUUGCCAGUGAGUACUAAACCUGAUAAUAUGCUUAAAAAUAGCUAGGCUUUUUAUGUAUCUAUGUGUGCGUACAUAGAACUGCCUUAAGUGUCUUAUUUUCUGAAUAUGAUGUGCACUGUUUAGCAUAUUUAGAUCUGAGUGUAGAUACACCCCACUGAUACAGAAUCUUAAUUGAUGUAUGUAUGCGCAGUUGGCUUGAAUGCUAUGUUCAUGCAAACCUACAUUGGCGGUGUGUCAUGCCCUCUUGUUUGUUUCAAGAAAUGGGUGAACCACGGUGGUUCACUUGUUGGAUAUGGUGAGAGUGGCUUCUCGAUUCUCAGGCUCAGCAACAAGCCGUAUUGGAUCAUCAAGAAUUCAUGGAGCGCAAAAUGGGGAGAACAUGGUUAUUACCGACUUUGCCGAGGCCAUGGCAUGUGUGGGAUGAAUACCAUGGUGUCUGCAGUUGUGACCAGUACGCGGGCAUCCUAGCUGCAUCUCCCGAGAUUAGCUAGUAUAUAAUUAUACACUAUAAUAUUAUAUGCACCUCUCCCUUGUUUUUUCUUAAUCCGAAUUUGAUGUUCCUAUAAUCAUAUUUCAACAAUAUUAUUGUUAAUAUGCCGAAGUGGAAAGUCUUGUUUACGUCAAAACCAAUUCGAACUAUAUUUUGUUAGCUUUAAAUGCUAGAUUGUCAGACUUCAAAUUUAAGUCGGAAAAAUUUUACAAUAUGUUAAUGCAUGUUAUGCAUCAAUUUUAUCCUAAAAUUGUAAAAUGAGUCUCUAAAGUAGUAAUAUUAGUCCUUGAAGUUGUAAUAUAUACGAGUAGUUGUAAAUUUUAAAGUUACAACAUUAGUUAUCAUGUGUCCUUAAAGUAAAUUUUACAGUUACAACAUUAGUCAUUGUGUCUUUAAAGUGAUAAAAUGCGUGCUUAAAGUGGUAAUUGAAUCCUCAAAGUGAUUGAAAAAGUUUUUAUAUCUUUGAGGAUUUGUAUUACAACUUUGAGGAUUUGUAUUACAACUUUGAGGACUCAGUUACCUCUUUAAGGACACAUAAGGAUUAAUAUUGUAACUAAUUUUUUUACAACUUUAAAGACUUAUAUUACAACUUUAAGGACUAGCUAAUAUUACUACCGUAAGACUCGAUCAUUUUAUAACUUAAGAGCAAAGUUGAUACAUCACAUGCAUUUUUUUUUUAUUGGUUAAUGAUCGAGGAUAGGCGAAUAAUCACCUAUCACUCUAUGUUAUUAAUAAAAGAAAAAAGAAACAAAGGAGGGGGAUCAAAACCAAAACAUCCUAAAACAAAUGACAGACUAGCUGAAACGAAAUUGAGGCAUACCUCUAACAUCGUUAUUAUAAGACAAUAAUAUGAAAGGUGGAGGCUCAUCCCACCAUAUCAAUUCAGAGCAUGACGUACCUUGAUUUGCCAGAGCAUCAGCUAUCUUAUUCCCUUCACGAAAAAUAUGAGUAGCCUUGAAAUUCAUUUUAGAGAUUCGGUAUAAGCAAUUCAACCAACGAACUCGAAGAGGCCAAGGAACAAGAGAAGGUCUGCGAAUAUAAUCAAGUACCAAAGAUGAGUCAACUUCCAACCAAAUAUGCUUCCAAUCACGAACCCAAGCAAGCUCAAUAGCUUUAAUAACAGCCAUUAUCUCCGUUGAAAUUGAACUAGGAAUUUCAAGAUUAGAGGCAAAAAGCACCUAGAAAGUGGCCCUUGUAAUCUCUAAAAAUAGCACCAUAACCACCCACUCCCUCUUCAUGCUUCCAAGAGCCAUCAGAAUUUAUCUUCACCCACCCAAGAGAAGGAGGAAUCCAAUUAACUUCAACCACUCUAGGAGUGGCACGAGGUCGACAUGGGGCUCCAAAACAUUUCAAAAUUCGUAGCUCCUGGACACUGUUAUGCAUAUGACCCGUUGUAAGAUGACUAGUGGCUCUUAUAUGACUUGAUAUUAGCUUGCAAACAACUUCAACUGAAAAGCGACAACCAUCAAAUCUGGUUUUAUUUCUCACAUGCCAAACAAACCACAAAAUGGAGGUAAAGCAAAUAAGCCAUAAUUCCAUUAAUUGAGGACUUCUUCCAUUCUGCAAACCCAACCCAUAAAGCUCCAAAAUAGAAGAAGGAAUCAUACCUAACUCAAAAAUAGAGCCAAAGUGACAGAAGAGACGCCAACGGCACCAACACCCAAAGCCAAAGGUAAAGUGUUCGUCAAAGGACUCCACAAUUCCAAGAAUGCUUUCCAUGUGCUCGUGCAAUAAUGGUAAGGAUAUCGAGAGACGCCAACGGCACCAAAUAUUCCAGCUUGAUUCAAUACGCCUUCAAAAUUGGCUAAUAUGAAUUCUGUCCACUCCAUUACGCCUAUCUCAAGUGUAGCACAACCCCGGAAACAAAGGCUCGAAGACCAAUCUUGUUUGGUGUUUAGCAUCCUGUGAAGUAUCGGGUAAAAAUUCUCUUCGAAAGUGAAAAGACCUCCAUCAUGUCUGUUAUCAACCUUCUCCAAAGUAUGCCCCUUAAAUACAUGGGAAAAGUUGUGGGUUGUUCUUAUCACUUGAUCCUCCAAAUCUUGGCGAAAUGUAAGAAAGCCUGAGUUCAUUUCAACUUCUGUCACCAAGGUAAUGAUGUCUUUAGGAGGGACAUCAACAUGAAUGGAGCUUAAAGGCUGUGAUCUCACGUACUCUAUGCCCUUUCCAACAACCUGCCUGUGUUUGUCCAAAGCUGCCUCGCGGGAAAUUCGACCAUAUGCAUCCAUUACCUGAGAUUAUAGCACGCAGAGAUGUUAAAAGCAAGCAAUAGCAAGUCAAGCUUUGCGCGAGAAAAGCAAGUUCCACGUACAAAGCUUGAGGGGGCACUGUUGAUACCAAAAAAAAAGGAUUACAGAAAAGGAAAAAAAUAAAUAAAAUAAAUAAAUGGAAGAGUAUUUAUUCAUGUCAUACUCUUCCGUUGGUUUUGAUUACACGCACAAAGCUUUUGAGUUCAAUUACAACUCUUGCAAGCAGGUGCUUGGAUAAGAACAAAUCAGUACGAGCACCAGAGUUUGAUUGUAACUCAAUUAUCCUAACCAAGCACUCUAUAUAAAGAGGCCAAUACCUUCAAAAAAAAAAAAAAAANAANNNNNNNNNNNNNNNNNNNNAACACCAACGGGAGGAGGCAGGCGGGCAACAAGGAGGAUCACAAAGGAGCGGUUCAUUCUUUACAAGGUUCGGAUGGAGAGUUCUCUUUCUCUUUGCGCAGCUCUCUUUAUGUUCUGUUGAUGGAGGCAUCACUGCCUUCAUAUUCCUCGCAGAUGGCCUCUGGUGUUCUUGGUUACUAUUGUUCCUGGUCACCCAAAUCCCUUGCGGAUCGAUCUGGUUAUUAUAGUUACUGUGUUCUGUUGGUUACUUGGUUACUACUGUGUUCUCUUGGUUACUUGGUUACUCAAAUCCCUUGUGGAUCGUUCCUGGUUACUCGUUACUUGGUUACACAAAUCCCUUGCGGAUCGUUCCUGGUUACUUGUUACCCUAAACAUUGGUUACUGGAUACUAUGGUUACUGGAGACUAAUGGCUACUAUGGCAAUGGUUCUAUGUUACAAUGGUUAUAUGACACUAUGGUUACUAUGAUUCUGGUUCUAUGGCUACUGUAGCACUAUGGUUACAAUAUGGUUCUGGUUCUUUGGGUACUUUGACACUGGUUACUAUAACAGAUCGGUUGCCCUUUGAUCCUACAAAACCAAACACAAAACCAAUACUCAAAAUUCCACCACAAAAGGCCAUUGUUGUCCCUGUUCCCUGUUAACCACCACAGCCAAAUACCUUUCCAAAUUCCAUGUUUCAAGCACCAACUCAAAUACUGUGCAAUGAAACUAAAAGAGACAAUAACAGAGGCUUACCCUCAAACUAUGACAAUCGAUCUAUUCCGAUACUACAACUACUACCUGUGUUUCAUACCUUCAUGCUGUAGCAGGAAUGGUGAUGAUAUUGCAAAAAGAGAACAGCAAGUUCCUGUCAAGUUAACCUCACAAAAACAUCCGAGCAAAGAGAGUCAUUGAUUCUUUGGCUCUGUCCCUUUAAAAAAAACAAAGGGGGCUCGGUGAGUUUUCUCAUGAUUCUUCUCCAAUAUCACAAGAUGACAAGAAUCAAGCUUGGCGGUGACCCUCCCAAACAGAGAAGGCUUACUCAAACAUAAAUAUGCAUUCACCACCAUGGAGUAAAACAAAAGAAGCAAACUUAAUUAAACAAGUUUUGUUUCUGGAAGUUCCAAGGCAGCGAGCCGAAUACACCCACAGUCAAAUAAAUUGGAGCUAAGAAGUUUAGAGUCUCAAAGCAAAAGACGUGUUCUUCCUCAAAUUAAAGCCUGCAAAUUGAAGCCUGCAGCAAAAUUAACCUACUCGAAGCUAAGCUCAUCCAUUCGACGCUAAGCUAAUCUACUCGAAGUUAAGGAAGCGAAGGAUAAUUAAUUUUGCCAUUGAAGAAUUGUAACAAAGCACCUAUCCAACACAAGGCAGUAACCAAAUUGAACGCUACCUGUGAAGAAACAAGCUUUUGACCAGUGGGAAAUCCUUCGAAAUUACUCUGAAGCAUAAUGGAGAUACUUUCGUCAUGAGGGUAUUUGAAUUGUAGGGAUGAAAGCAGGAACACAAUAGGGGUUAUCCUUACCCAAUUUCGCACAGUGAGAAAGAGCACAGCAAAUCUCAAGCCUCCCAGUGUUGAUAAAUUUCUUCUCGGCGACUUAGGAGCACUGCCAUCACCAAGUCGGUUGCUGCGCCAACCCCUCUCCAUUUGAUCAGUUUCGGCCUUCAAGUUCUUCUGGGUUACAAUAAACAAGGCAGCAGAAGAUCAAAAGAAAGAAAAGAAAUGAAGAAUGGGGAGAGGGAAAGCUAACGGGCCUCCACAUUGACGGAUGCUACUCACAAGCAAGGCCCAUGUCAAAUUUGGGCCCAUCUGAAAAGUUCAACGAGGCUCAAUAUAUGGGUGUUCAAAUCAAAAUACCCAAACUUCGGUUUCGUUUAAAAAUUCUUCGGAACCCGAAUGAAGUUGCGUUUGGUACAAAACCAAGAAAUACUCAAAUACCCAAAUUUUUGAACUACAAUGGUUUGAUCCCUUCACAGGGUAUGUAGGCAGUCCAGAUUUAAAUCUGGAUAUAACCACAUUUAAAGCCAAAUCGUUGGUUCUUUCCAAGCCAAAUUCUAAAACACAUAACCAAACCUUUCGACAAGUCAUCUACUUCGUCGAAACCCCAAAAGCCAUAAAACUUGAACUACGAGUGACUUGAUCCCUUAUGGGGUACGUAGGCAGCCUGUAAAACAAAUCGGGUGCAGUCGCAAUUCCCCUCGAACACACAUUCCCCAUUUGUUACUUUGUAAUUAGAAUCAAAGGGUCUUCCCCCGAAAGCAAGGGUUGUAAUUAAGAAAUUUAUUUUAUUUCGAAUGGGUCGAACCAGACAUAAUUAAAACUCUAUUUUAAUCAAUGAGAUAGAGUGAAAUUGUGUUGGGUAUAUUUAUUUACAAUUUUUGCUCAACAUAGUUUUUGGCGACUUCACUGGGGACUCUCAACUGGUCAUCAGACAAAUAAAUGACGAGUAUGCAGUCAAAAAUGAGAACCUUAUAUCAUACUACCAAAGAGUUAAAUAUCUCCUGGGACAAUUUCGAGAGAUAUAUGUUGGCCACAUUCCAAGAUCAGAGAAUGAUAAAGCAGACGCAUUGGCUAACUUGGCAGCUUCUUUAGUACUUCCUGAAGAGAAAGACAUCCAAAUAACAGUUGGAGAACGUCGAUUGCAGUCCUACGUCACUUGAACGAAUGGAAGCUACCAAUGAAACAAAUGUAGUUUCUGUGUUCGAAACUGAGGAAGAAUCUGAUUGGCUCAAAUUGAUGCAGUGAACGAGCAAGAGAGGAAAGUAUGAUUCAAAGUCUCCGAGCAAACACCACAAAGCUCACAUCUAGAAACCCAAGGAAUACCUCGACGCUGAAGUAAAACAUCAGAAAUAACUCUACCUCUUAACACCUUCCAUGCUAGGAAAGACAUUCUUGGCAGAAUAUAUUUAGCCCAUAAUCUCUUACCCCAAAUUACUGGAUUAGAAGAAUGCCGCAUAAAAGUAUAGGCUUGUUUUGCGGUUAACUCAUCGGAGGCUGAAGAGGUCCAUAUAAGUUUGUCAUUAACUGAAGGAUCUUCUGACACAGGGACUUGAUUGAUCAUACCACAUAAGGCUGGGUAGUGCAACUGUAGUAAUGGAGGAAGAUUCCAUGAACCAUUGUCUAUAUAUUUUGACACCAAAUCCGAGUUAUCCUGCAUCAACACAUUAGAACCAAAGAACUCAUUUAUUGGCCUACCCAUAAACUUGUCGCGCCAAAAGUAAAUUCCAUUCCCAGAACCAAUGAACCAUUGAGAAUUAUCUUGAACAGUCUUCCAGAAUUGACGAACACCAGGCCAUAUAGAAGAAGGAGCAUAAGAUUUCCGUCUAGAGAAACGAUUGCGAAUAAAAGCACAACCCUCAGAUUGAGCUGUAUAGAUUUCCCAGCAACGUUUCAAUAAGAGAGAUCGAUUAAGCAGAACUAGUUGUUUGAGCCCCAAGCCACCUUCUGCAAUUGGGGAACAACAAGACUUCCAAGCCACAAGAGGGAUCCCUCUUUUAUCAAUUGAGCCAGACCACAGAAAGUUUCGGCACCAUACCUCAAUUUUUCGCACCACAGACACAGGCCAUUCAUAUACUUGAAAAAUGUAUACCAACAUGCUAAAAAUAACAGACUUGAUAAGCUGCAAACGUCCUGCCAUUGACAAAAAAGAACUCACCCAACUCGAUAACUUUAUCCUUAUUUUGUCAACAAUCUGAUGGAAAUAAGAAGCACGAGGUUUGCCAUGAAAAAUAAGGGCACCCAGAUACAUGAAUGGAGCAGACCCCAAGGGAAUACCCAAGAAGUUCGAAAUAGAAUGCCGCCUUGAAUGUAUACUAUUUCCAAUAAAAACCUGAGACUUCCCUUUGUUGAUAACUUGACCUGAAACUCUACCAUACUCAUCGAAGAACCGCAUAAUCCGCGAUAAAUUCCGCCUAUUGCCCCGAAAAAAAACAAUAACAUCAUCUGCAAAUAGGACAUGAGAUGGAGCAAGAGUAUUUCGUGGAGAAGAGAUACGCUGCAGUUGUCCCGAUGAAACAAGUAAAGAGAUCCCACGACUAAGGACUUCUUCUGCUAAGCAAAAGAGCAAGGGAGAAAGAGGGUCACCUUGACGCACACCCCUUUCACAAGAAAAAUACCCCACAGUCCUCCCAUUAAUCAACAGAGAAAGCUUGGCUGACAGAAGCAAGGCACGCACCCAUUGUACAAAGAUCGGAUCAAACCCAAAAGCCUGAAGAACAUGAAGAAGAAAAUCCCAUGACAGAGUAUCAAACGCCUUUGUAAUAUCAACCUUAAUUGCAAGGUUACCCCCCAUGACAUUUUGAGUUCAACAAAUUAAAGCACUCUGAAGUAGUUAAUAUACAGUCUGAUAUGUUCCUCCCUGCAACAAAAGCAUGCUGUUGAGGAGAAAUAAUACGAGAUGCCACUGAUGCCAACCGGAUAGCUAUGAUCUUUGGGAUAAUUUUAAACACAAAGUUGGUGAGGGCAAUAGGCGAAACUGCUUUAUGGAGUCGGCAUGAUCAACUUUGGGGAUUAAGAUGAUAAUACCUGAGUUAAAGGAAGGAGCCAAAUAACCAUGUUGAAAAAAUACUGAACAGCCUUAACAACAUCAGCACCAACAACAUCCCAGCAAGAGACGAAAAAAUGGCCAUUAAAUCCAUCUGGCCCCGGGGCACUAUCAGGAUCCAUUGAUUUGACAGCUGCCCAAAUUUCCUCUGAUAAUGGAACACUAGUAAGCAUCGUAUUUUCCUCAGGAGUUACCAUAGAGUGAAUCACUUUGGACACCAAGCCACUAUCUUCAUACUCUGCAUGUUUAGUAAAAAGAUUUUUGUAAUAAUCAACUAUAUGAUUUUGGAUAUAAUGAGGAUCCUGAAGCACCUGAUCUCCAUCACGAAGCAGAGUAAUAGAAGAACGAUUUCGGCGCACUUUACACAAAGCAUGAAAAUAAGAAGAAUUACGAUCACCUUCUGAUAACCAUCGCAACCUUGACUUCUCACGCCAAAGAAUUUCCUGAUGCAGAAUAGACUCAUUCAAAAUGGCCUGCAAUUCAGUCUCUUUUUCAAACUCUUCAUCUGAUCCCCCAGAAGCUGCAAUUUUAUUUUGAAUAUCAGCAAGGGCUGCAAGGUCAAACUCAACCCGACGGUGAACAUCCCCAAAGACCUCCCAGUUCCAAGUACGGAGAGAUUUCCUUAAGGUACGCAGCUUAUAUUGCAGGACAGAAUAAGGACAACCAAACGAAGUAGUAGAGGACCAACAUCCUUUGACAAAACUCAUAAAAUCCUUAUGCUCCAACCACAUUUUUCUAAACCGAAAGAGACUAAAACGAGACCCUGUAAACUUAGAAAAGGACAUUAGUAGUGGAUUAUGAUCAGAGCAAGUUCUGGGUAAGGUGCAACAGUCAAACUGAUCCCAUUCCUCCAUCCAAUUCAAAUUAGCAAGACUUCUAUCUAAUCUUAGCUCCACAUUACCACGAAAACCACGCCGUCUCACCCAUGUAAACUCUGCCUCUUUAGUAUCUACAUGAAUAAGUUCACAAACAUCUGACAUUGUCUGAAAUUCCUCACAUGAUCGCCGACAUAGAGGAGCACCUCCUUUCUUUUCAUGAGCACCAAGAACUGCGUUAAAAUCUCCAAAAACCAACCAUGGUCCUGUAACAAAACGACCUUUGAAAUCAGUAAUAUCUUCCCAUAACUUCCGGUGGCCAGAGAUUGUGGUACGAGCGUAGACAGCUGUAAGAAAACAGUUUACCGAAUCAAACAUAACUUGUAAAGAAACCUGCUGAUCCGAGGUAGACAACACCCGAAUCCAUGGAGCCAGAGAAGUCUUACAAAAAACCCAUAGAUUAGGUAAUGCAGAACCCCGGUCAUUUGCACCAACAAAUCGCAUGCCUAACGAACGCCAAAAGAAUAGAGGAAUUGAAGUCAAGGCAACGAAAGGCUCAGCUAUACAUAAAACUUCCAGGUUGUGAACCCGUACAAACUGUUUCAAAGCAUCUUGAGUGGGGACAUUAGCAAUGCCCCGUAUGUUCCAAUAAAGAACCCUCAUUUAGGAGUGUCUUUGGAGCGACGGAGAUAGGCUUCCCUAUUCUCCUUCGAAGCAGCCUUCCUCUUUUGAGACCUGGACAUAACAACAGUAAAACCAUCAUCAAUGUCAACUCGUUCUGUCUCCUCAUACCAGCUAUCAAUUCGAGUUACUGAAUUUGCAGCAACAGCAACCCCAAUGUCAGAAGACUGCUCAUGCAUACUACCACCGGCAGAGUCAUCUUCACUAUUCUGCUCGUUCUGAUCAAUUGCAUACCUAGUAUCAUCUUCUUGCUCAACCACAUUACCAUGGAUAGCUACUGGUACCAAAACCACAUUCACCCCCGGCUCAACCACUUCUUGGACAGGUGCCACCACUUCCACUAGCGGUUCCGGCACAACACUAGAUAUCACUAGUUGGCCGACCGGUGCUGGAGACUUCUGCACAAAGGAAGGACCCUCACCAAAAUCUUCCCUGGGGUUUGGAGUUGAAUCAAUAAUCAUGCUCUUACCUCGAUCUGCUGGAUUAGAUGGGUUUUUAGGCACAUACACUUUGGAGACUCGUUGCUGAUCACGGUUCCUGCGAGAUCGUCUACUACGCUUGCGCGAUCGACCUCUGCCUUUCUCAGUCUCAUUAUCCAUUGGAACCGGGUCAGAAGAUCUAUGCACAUACUUGCAAGCUGUGACAAGGUGCCCAACGUUGCCACAAUGAGCACAAAUAUGUGGAAGCUUCUCAUAAUCCACAGUCUGAACAAAAGACGAACCGCACUUACGCUUGACAACCAAUUCAUGCGGUGGAUCAACAGAGAGAUCAAUAUCAACCAAUAUUCUAGCAAAUAGGGUUCUAGGUUCCCAAAACUCAAGCCCUAGAUCCUAAAACCUCACCCACACCUGAGCAUUAGUAUUACGUUGAUUCGCUGGGGAGAAAUUUGGAACCCAUCGCAUGAAACGCAAGAAGCCAGGCUUGAGAGCAAUUGCACCCUUUACCCAGACUGUAGAGAGAUCCUCAUCCGUAGAGAAGCUAAACGUGAAAUAACCUUUUCCCAUGGGAAUAAUCUUCCAAGCCCCUAGACUUCCCCAAAGAAGAGAAAGCUUAUGAGACAGAUCUGAUGCAGAGUAGGGUUUAUCCCUCAAACCCAAUUGCACCCUUCCGAUUAACAUAUGUUUACAAUUAUCCAAACCCGAUUGAUAGCCCUCUUCUGAAAUAGUAACAGUUGUCUUGCCAUCUAAAAUCUCAGGAAUAGGUAGAUCAUCAAUUGGGAUGAAAGCUUGCGCCGCCGCCGCCGCAUAAGAUUUCGUCGGCUUCGCAGCCCCCUCGUCGAGAAAAGACCACGGGCAGAAGGGACGAUGCUGAACAGCCAUGACGUCGUGAAGCAAACGGAACUCGAAUUCAAGGAUUUACUGCAGGGAGGCUCCAGCACGGGGAAACCCUAGCAGAGCCAUCACCAACAUAAUGUAACUCGAUGCAUCACAUCCAUUAACACACUAUAGUCUUACCUUUUAAGUUGAGUCAAUGCAAGAGUUGCACUAUUUAGACCAUUUGGUUCUUCCGAAAAUAUGUAUUAUAUUUUUGAGAAUUUCAACGUCUGUAGUAGAGUCGACGAGGAUUUUAGAUUUGAUUUCGUCGAUGGCGUUGUCGAGCUAUUGCGUCAAUAGGAUGAUGAAGAGCAACCGGAAUCACCUCUCUUCUGACGCAAUUUGUUUUUCAAAGAUCUGGUCCGUUGCACUGGCCGGUCGAAGCCUUUUCAGUUCUCAAAACAGUUCAGAAACUACAGGUCUGAUAAUGAAAUGCAUAAAACAUUUAUAACUAUUGGUAAUUUAUAUCCUAGAGUUGUUCGAGUGUACUAACCACAGGAAAUAACGAUCUAGCUAGACUACCUUAUUUUCGUUAGGGCUGCUCUAAUUAGUCAACAUAUGCAGCUAGGUGAUGAUAAACUUACCCAAUUCGUUGUGAAAAUAAUUGAACCAUCAGUAGCCGUGAUAGUCCUUACGUACCUGCCCUUUCAUGAGCCUUAAUAUUUGGUGGCUUAUUAGCUACGCACUAAUGGUAGUUAAUUGUGCUUAUUUUGUGCAUGUGUGUUCUAAUACAAUUACCUACCUAGUUCUAAUUGUUCUAAUUCGUCGUGGAAUGUUUUCAGAGGAGAAAACUGAAUGGGGUAGCAUAGAGCCCUAUUACAAAAUAAUGUAUCUAUAACCUUCUCUAAUUUACAUAGUAAUUGACGCAAUUUGGCCGAACUGUUUCUGAACACACUGCUUCAGUUCUUUAUAAACCACGUACCAUAUGUAUGUAUUCAAGUGUCAGAUAUACUGAACCUACAUCGCCAAAAUGGAGAGAAUUCAGGUCAGUAUAAUUUCCAAACACACCGUCAAACCAUCAGCUUCCUCUUCACUACUUCGGGAUUGUCUAUGGUACAGCGCUGUAUGCCAUACAUCCUCUAACAGGACUUGUGUGCACGUGCCUUGCAGUGGGGGUGGGUGUUUUGUUUUGAAAUUUUUAGCCUUGAAAGCAGGCUGCAUAUCAUGCAGGGCUGCAGAUAGAAUUUUCCCUGAAUAUCACGCAUAUCAGCGCUGCAUGAUAUGUAUGAUUGUCUAUGGUACAACGCUGCAUAUCAUGCAGCGCUGCAUUAAAGCAGACUGCAUAUCAUGCAACGCUGCAGGAUAUGCAGCCUGCUUUCAAGGCUAAAAAUUUCAAAAUAAAACACCCCCACCUGCAAGGCACGUGCGACACAAGUCCUGUUAGAGGAUGUAUGGCAUACAACGCUGUACCAUAGACAAUCCCACUACCCUACUUCAGCCUUACAAGCUUACCCUGCUCGACCAGCUCACUCCUCCAUCGUAUGUCCCCAUGGUAUUCUUCUACCCCAUUACUGGCCCUGCAGUCUUCAAUCUUCAAACCCUAGCUGACUUAAGACAUGCCCUUUCCGAGACUCUCACUUUGUACUAUCCACUCUCUGGAAGGGUCAAAAACAACCUAUACAUCGAUGAUUUUGAAGCCGGUAUCCCAUACCUUGAGGCCCGAGUGAAAUGUGACAUGACUCAUUUUCUAAGGCUUCCAAAAAUCGAGUGCCUAAAUGAGUUUGUUCCAAUAAAACCAUAUAGUAUGGAAGCAAUAUCUGAUGAGCUUUACCCCUUGCUUGGAGUUCAAGUCAACAUUUUCGAUUCUGGGAUAGCAAUAGGUGUCUCCGUCUGUCACAAGCUCAUCGAUGGCCGAACGUCAUACUGUUUUCUCAAGUCCUGGGGUGCUGUUUUUCGUGGGUGUCGUGAUGAAAUCAUACAUCCUAAUCUCUCUCAAGCAGCAUUGCUUUUCCCACCGAGAGAUGACCUGCCUGAAAAGUAUAUAGCUUUGAUGGAAGGGUGGUCGAUUGCCGUAAAGAAAGUUGCUACAAGGAGAUUUGUAUUUGGUGCGAAAGCCAUAUCUGCAAUUCAAGAUGAAGCGAAGAGCGAGUCCGUGCCCAAGCCAUCACGAGUUCAGGCCGUCUCUGGUUUUCUCUUGAAACAUCUUCUCUCUGCUUCUCGGGCAUCAUCAUCAGGUAAAUCAGUUUAUGUGUCUUCUUAAAAGUGCACCACAUGCAAUUGCGUGAUUGGCAAAGGAGGGCUAGGCGUGAUUAAUUAAGCUAGAGAAGACAAGGUUUUUCCAUUAAUUGUUAGUGAGGCUUGCUCAAAUGCGAGCGUACAAGAGUUUUCAGUAGCUUUAUUUCUGCUGCUUAGGUUAUACCGGAUUUGUUUUGUAAGUUAGAAAAAUACAACUUAUUGGAUAUUGUUAUAAGCAUCUAAUUAAUGAUAUGAAUGAAAAAGAAAAAAGAUCGUACACUUAACAUUUUUCUGCUAUUAUUUCAUACUUAUUUUAUAUUUUUGUAUUACAUAUACUGUACAUAGCUUAAAAAUGAGAAAAUAUAUGAACUUUUGCAGGUACUACUUCAACAAAACUUUCUAUAGCAGCUCAGGUAGUGAACUUAAGAUCACAGAUGAACAUGGAGACAACGUUGGGUAAUGCCAUUGGAAACCUGAUGUGGUGGGCUCCGGCCAUACUAGAGUUAAAUCAUAAAGCACGAGAGAGCAGCGAUCCUAAGCUGUGUGACUUGGUUAUCUUGCUCAAUGAAUCUGUCAAACAAUCUAACAGUGAUUACUUCGACACUUUCAAGGGUAAAGAGGGAUAUGGAAGAAUGUGUGAGCAUCUAGAUAUGGAGGGGACUGUAAGUUCUGUAGAACCAGCACCAGAGAUAUAUUCAUUCUCGAGCUGGACUAGAUUUUUCGACCAAAUUGAUUUUGGAUGCAUGGGGGAGGUCAUCUUGGAUUGGAGUUACCGGAAAACAAUCUGCAUAUUGGAAUUCCACAGUUUUAGUACCAACACAAUGUGAUACUGGAAUUGAAGCGUGGGUGAAUCUAGAUGAAGAGAAAAUGGCUAUGCUAGAACAAGAUCCCCAGUUUCUAGCAUUAGCAUCUCCAAAGACCCUAAUUUCAAGGUAUUGAUUAUGAAAGAUUAUGUGGCUCGUGCAAUGUUUCCAUUUGCAGUGAAUAAGGAUUAAAUUAGUUCCCCGGCCAAUUAAUAAGAAGCAAGGUAUGAUAGACUAUGGCUACGUAUGUUAGUAUGUUAUCCGAAUGUGCUUCGUUAUGCUUUUAACCAAUAUAGCUCUGUUUUGUAACAAUGCUCUAUUGAGCUUCUAACUAUAGAGUUAUUUUUCUUGAUUAGAAAAAGAAACUAUGCAAGUUUUGUUUUGUUAAGCUAUUCUGUUUCUAAAAGAAAGGCUAUUCUGUUUCUAAAACGGGAUGCAUGUAUUACCUAAAAAGAUGAUUCACCUAUAAUUAUUUUUCAAGUAAAUGAUUAUUUGAUAGCAAUCACGCCGUGUAUUUCUAUAGCUAAAAUUGUAAUUUAGAUCAGUGACAACAUGAUUAAAAGUUACAUAUUCUGAUACAUUUGUUAUUUAACGACAAGUGUGGCCAUAAUGCCUCACCUAGUCACCUAAUGCGAAGACCUCUACGAGAGACUAAUGUCGUCUGAUCUUCUUUUCUUAAUCAAAAGAAACGAAAAUGGCCACAAUGCCUCACUAUUCAUAGAACCAUACAAUAAUUUGGAACAUAUGCAUGGAUGCAAAGAAAAAUAACACAAGAACCAUCAUAAUUUCACAUUAUAUGAGAAACUUAGCCAAAUCCGAAUCACAUCCAUGUUGGCCAAGAGUGACUAAAGAAGACCACCCAGAAAGCUAGAAAACCAUAAAAUCCAGAAAACUUGAAUAAGCUAGGGAAAAAACAAAAAUGUGACAUUCCAUUUCUUCUUGCGGUUUUGUUAGGCCAAAUCAAAAUCUCAAUGACCCUGCAAUCAUUUACACACACUCUUUCUCAAUCUCUGCAAAACUGACUGCUUCCCCUGAAAACUUGCGCAAUAGGGUACCUAGCUCUCUGGCCUUUUCUUUCUAAUGCACAAUUUAUGGCUUUUGGUAAUGAUGAUUUUAUGCUUGUGGAUCUCAGAUGGGUUUGUUUUGUUUUGGGAUUUUUAUAAAUGAAUGCAUUGAAAAUGUUGAAAGCUUAUGCCUUUGUUCCUUGGUUCAGUGUUCUGGUUUUGUGUACGUACGAGAGUUGAAAUGUGAUCUCUAGUAUCGGUAAAGAGAAAUGUUCUAACCAUGCUAGUGUUAGUAAUUUAUCUUCUAAAGUUGUUUGAGUACUUUACUCUCUUACUUUACUAACUAAGCAUAGGAAAUAACGACCUAAACUACCUGAUUUUCGUUAGUGCUUGUAAACACGAAAAUUCCUGUAACGAAUAACAGAAAGACAUGUGUACAAAAUAAUAUAUUUGUAUUGAUUGAAUUUGCGGGUUACAAUCUCUAUGGGUAUUCUUUUAACAAGAAUGUCCUCUGAUUCGAUCUCCGAUGUUGAUUUGAUCCAAGGGUGACAAGCACUUGAUCUUGAAUUGAACUGUUGUAGUUUGAACUUCUUAUUGUGUUGACGAUUUGUAGAAGGAAGUUGACCAAGGGCCAUAGAGGCUUGAUCUUGGUCGAAUAUGGGCCGCGAGAGGUGUCACGUGGUGAACGUUCUUCGACUUGAUAGCGGAUGAAUCGGCACGUGUGUUUGGUACUUGUUGAUUCUCCACGAGGUUGUUGAAGAACUUGGUAGAAGUUUUGAUUUGUUGAAAGACUUGAAGACGAGGGUUGAUCAAGGGCCGUAGAGGCUUGACGUUGAUCGAGUUUGGGCCGAGCAGUUCCACAUGGUGGUUGCUCUUCGUCUUGUAGUUGGUGAAGAUGUCAGCUAUUUGGCAACUUGGGACUCUUCGGGAUUUGACAACCUAUAGGCUUGAGGUUGAUGAAGAAUCAACUAUUUGGCAGCUUGAUGAUUCUUCAAGGGUUUUGGGAGAAUUCUAAACUCUCGGGAGUAAUUUUUCUCUCUUGUCUGAAAGUCGUCCUCUUGAUAUGAGAGGGGGUAUUUAUAGUGUUAAUGCUCCUCCGUAAAUGGAAUGCAUUGAAGUCACAGCUUUAAUUAUAUUUCCUUAAUGAUAUAAUUAAAUCAAUCACUUUUGAUUGAUUGAUUCAAUUAUUCAAUUUCCCAUAAUUAAAUCAAUCAGUCUUAAUUGAUCGAUUUAGUUAUGAUCGAUAAGGUAUUUCACUAAUUUGAUUAAAUUCCGACUUCCUUUUCGAUAAUUGAUUUGAUUUGAUUGAUGUUUGAUUAUCGAUUGACAUUUAAUAUUUUAUUUUAGUUGGGAUUGAUGAUUUUGUUGUCGACCGACCAUUCACACGCCGCCACGUGUUAUUUUCGAAGACUUUUCAACUUUGCUGACUCACGAGCCACGUAUGCACGAGACUUUUCAACGUCUCUAAUUUACAUAGUAAUUGACGCAAUUUGGCCGAACUGUUUCUAAACACACUAAGCUUCAGUUCUAUAUAUACCGCGUACCACAUGUUUCAUCAAGUGUCAGAUAAUACAGAACCUACUUCGCCAAAAUGGAGAAAAUUGAGGUCAGUAUAAUUUCCAAACACACCAUCAAACCAUCAACUUCCUCUUCACCACUUCAGCCUUACAAGCUUACCCUGCUCGACCAGCUCACUCCUCCAUCGUAUGUCCCCAUGGUAUUCUUCUACCCCAUUACUGGCCCUGCAGUCUUCAAUCUUCAAACCCUAGCUGACUUAAGACAUGCCCUUUCCGAGACUCUCACUUUGUACUAUCCACUCUCUGGAAGGGUCAAAAACAACCUAUACAUCGAUGAUUUUGAAGAGGGUGUCCCAUACCUUGAGGCUCGAGUGAACUGUGACAUGAAUGAUUUUCUAAGGCUUCCGAAAAUCGAGUGCCUAAAUGAGUUUGUUCCAAUAAAACCAUUUAGUAUGGAAGCAAUAUCUGAUGAGCGUUACCCUUUGCUCGGAGUUCAAGUUAACAUUUUCAACUCCGGAAUAGCAAUCGGGGUCUCCGUCUCUCACAAGCUCAUCGAUGGAAGAACUUCAGACUGUUUUCUCAAGUCGUGGUGUGCUGUUUUUCGUGGUUCUCGUGACAAAAUCAUACAUCCUAAUCUCUCUCAAGCAGCAUUGCUUUUCCCACCAAGAGAUGACUUGCCUGAAAAGUAUGCCCGUCAGAUGGAAGGGUUAUGGUUUGUCGGAAAAAAAGUUGCUACAAGGAGAUUUGUAUUUGGUGCGAAAGCCAUAUCUGUAAUUCAAGAUGAAGCAAAGAGCGAGUCCGUGCCCAAGCCAUCACGAGUUCAGGCUGUCACUAGUUUUCUCUGGAAACAUCUAAUCGCUACUUCUCGAGCACUAACAUCAGGUAUGUAAAAUCAGUUUAGCAACAAGCCAAAUACUAAAGCAACUAAAUAAAAACCUAUUGUAUUUGGGGUAGUCCCUUAUUAGCUGUUGUCCUAAACUUCUAACGAUAUGAACUUUUUUCUCAAAAGAAAAAAAUAGUACACUUAACAUUUUCUGUUAUAAUUUCAUACUUAUUUAUAUAUUUUUAUUACAUACAUAGCUCAAAGAAUGAGAAAAUAUAUGAACCUGCAGGUACUACUUCAACAAGACUUUCUAUAGCAACCCAGGUAGUGAACAUAAGAUCACGGAGGAACAUGGAGACAGUGUGGGAUAAUGCCAUUGGAAACUUGAUAUGGUUCGCUCCGGCCAUACUAGAGCUAAGUCAUACAACACUAGAGAUCAGUGAUCUUAAGCUGUGUGACUUGGUUAACUUGCUCAAUGGAUCUGUCAAACAAUGUAACGGUGAUUACUUUGAGACUUUCAUGGGUAAAGAGGGAUAUGGAAGCAUGUGCGAGUAUCUAGAUUUUCAGAGGACUAUGAGUUCUAUGGAACCAGCACCAGAGAUUUAUUUAUUCACGAGCUGGACUAAUUUUUUCAACCAACUUGAUUUUGGAUGGGGGAGGACAUCAUGGAUUGGAGUUGCAGGAAAAAUUGAAUCUGCAUUUUGCAAUCUCAUAACAUUAGUUCCAACACCAUGCGAUACUGGAAUUGAAGCGUGGGUGAAUCUAGAAGAAGAAAAAAUGGCUAUGCUAGAACAAGAUCCCCAGUUUCUAGCACUAGCAUCUCCAAAGACGCUAAUUUCAAGAUAUUGAUUAAGGAAGAUUAUGCGGCUCGUGCAAUGUUUCCAUUUUGUUGUGAUUAAGGCUUAAAUUAGUUCACCAGCCAAUCAAUAAGAUGCAAGUAUGAUAGACUCGGUCUACGUAUGUUAUCCGAAUGUGUUUCCACAUGCUUGUAACCAAUAUAGCUCUUGUUUGUAACAAUGCUCUAUUAAGCUCUUCUAUCCAUAAAGUUAUUUCUCUAUUAAAAAGAAAACUAUACAAGUUUUGUUAAGUUUUUAAGGUAAGAUGCAUGUAGUACCCAAAAAGAUGGUUGACCUGUCAUUAUUUUCAAGUACAUGAUUAUCCGAUACAAUUACAUCAAAUAUUUCUAUAGCUAAAAAGUAUGUAAUUUUGAUCCGUGACAACAUGAUUAAAAAGUUAUAUAUUAUGAUGCAUUUAUCCUCUAACGACAAGCAUGGUCAUAAUGUCUCACCUCAUCACCUCACCAAGCGCGGAUCCAGUUCACAAGUGGGUAAGGCUCAAGCCCAACCAAGAAAAUUGGGGGAAAAAAAAACCUAAGUAUAGAUAUAUAUUUUUUUGGGUGAUAUAUCAUAUAUGCCCAGCCAUCAAGUGACCAAGCCCAACCCACCUAACUCAACCCAUCCCACUAACUACCCAAGUCCACAAUCAUCACUCAUCACUCAUCCACCCAACCUCCUUCAUCGAAGGAGUCCUUUAACUAAUCAGCUUAAACACCAAGUCUAAAAGUCUUCCCUGCUCUUCCCCUCCGCCUCCACUCAGUCACUCACCUAUGACCUAUCCCGGCUAUCCGGCUAUCCCUCUUCCCCUCCAGUCCUCCACGGCUCCACCAUAAUCUCCUUCUUCCCGGCCUCCUCCGGUCCUCCGAUUCCUCCCGGAUAGCGACGACUCGCCUCCGGCGGUCCGGACCUCCGCGGCUCCGCCUCCAGUCCUCCACUCACCUAUCCCUCUUCCAGCUGCUAGAAAGCUUGUUCGAGACUUGGUCCUCCACAGACAACCCAUUAGUCCAUUACCCAUCUUUCUUCACUCUCAGCCAGCAUGGUUGUACUAGAAAUUUUUUUUUGGCCUUCGGCCAAAGUUCAAGCCCACCCCAUCUUUAAAUCAUGGAUCCGCCACUGCACCUCACCAUAGUGUCCUAUCCUCUUAGGAGAAGGUAGGCACCUAAUGCAAAGGCCUUUAUGAGAGACUAAUAUCGUCUGAUCUUCUUUUCUUAAUCAAAAGAAAUGAAAAUGGCCACAAUGCCUCACUAUUCAUAGAGCCAUACAAUACUCUGGAACAUAUGCAUGGAGACAAAGAAAAAUAACACAAGAACCAUUAUAAUUUCACUUUAUACGGGAAACUUAGCUAAAUCCGAAUCAUGGGCGGAGCCAACCCAGGUGAAAUUUUGAAGCCCAAAAAAUUACCUGAAACAUCGUCGUUUGGGUGUAGGUUAUUUCUCCGUUUACUUCUUCUCAAUCUUAGUCAUAACUCACACCAUUGCGUCCGUAGCCCGUCGUUGUCGCUAGAGCGGUCGCCAUUUCCCAUAGCCCGCGCCGUCGCCCGUAGACCACAUCCCGAGUCAGUCAGUCCCCACUUGGCUACUUCCCCAGGUAUGGCUCAAUCGGAUUGCUUAUAUUCUGAUCGUGGACAUAGCAGGCUUCAAUUCAAAAGCCAUCAUAUUCAUAUGCUUCAAUGUUGCUUUACUUCGUCUAUAACUAGAGUUUCAGCUUUGCUUCGUCUUCAAUGUUGAUAUGUUGAUAUAAAAUAUUAACUUGAUUAGGAUUUGUUGAUAUAGAAUAUUACCUUGAUUAGGAUUUGUUGUUAUGUAAUAUGUAUUAGGAUAUUUAUUACUCAUAUUAGGAUUUGUUAUAUGAUCUUACAUCCUUACGAAUGAAUAUACAUCAACACAAUCGAAAUCUGCAUGGUCAUAUUAGCCUUAACUAGUUCAGUCCAAUUCAUAUUAGUCUUAAACUAGUUCAGUCUAAUUCCUCAUGGGUAUAUGCUGAACUUUAAGAUGUUGAUCUUCUAUAAUAACUGAGUUCGAUACCAGAAAUCUUUGAUGAUUGUCCACAUAUGUUAUCUUAUAAUCCUAUAUUAAUUUGUACUAAUCUCAUAGUCUUAAUUUGAAAGCUCCUUAUACGUCUUAACUUGGAUAUGGAUGUGGAUUUGAUCUUAUUAUAUGUAAUAUUAAAGUGAAGUUGUUGUAUUACACAGAAUGUUUGAUGAAUAAAUAACAAAUUGAUCGCGUCAAAAGGCUAGAUCAAAAAAUUUCUUGCACCAUCGAACAAAUUUUCUUGUGUAUACAAUUUCAUGGUUCCGCCACAUUGGCAACAAAGAGUGAUUGGAAAAGAAGAACACCCAGAAAGAUAAAAACCAUAAAACUUGUUUAAGCGAAAAAAACAAAAGUAUGCCAUUCAUUUCUUCUUGCGGUUUUGUUAGGCCAAAAAUCAAAAUCCCAUGAUACCCAAUCAGUUACACACUCUCCCUCUCAAUCUCUACAGAACUGACUGCUUCCCCUGAAAACUUGCGCAAUAAGGUACCCAUCUCUCUGGCCUUUUCUUUGUAAUGCAUAUAAGUUCCUGUAAAUUUUAAAGCUUUUGGAAUGAUGAUUUUAUGCUUGUGGAUCUCAAGAUGAGUUUGUUUGUUUUUUUCGGGAUUUUUAUAAUGAAUGCAUUGAAAAUGUUGAAAGCUUAUGCCUUUGUUCCUUGGUUCAGUGUUUUGGUUUUGUAUACGAGAGUUGAAAUGUGAUCUCUAGCUUGACUGUUGGUAUUGGUAAAGAGAAAUGUUCUAGAAAACCAUGCUAGUAUUAGUAAGUUAUCUUCUAAAGUUGUUCGAGUACUGUACUAAGCAUAGGAAAUAACGACCUAAGCUACCUUAUUUUCGUUAGUGCUAGCUGCUAUGAGAAACUUACCCAAUUCGUUGUUAAAAAUAGGGAAAAUACCCAAAUACUCAAAAAUUAGAAAGCUAAAACCCAUUCCAAUGAAAUUAUAAUCCUUUAGCUCAUUCCUAUGUUACACCGAUACUCCACCCCACGGACACUCCAACACUCCCGACACACCGAUAUCGAUACGAUACACCAAAAUGUGUGUCCGACACGCCACGUGGCGUGUCAAAAAAAGUUGACUUUUUAGACACGUUACGUCAGCCUGAGACACGCCAAGUCAGUGUGUAUUGAUUGAAAAAAAAAAAUACAGAACUAAAAGUCUAAAACCUAAUCGAAGAGGAAGCCCACUUUAAAGAAGCCGCAUAGAAGAGGAACGAUGUCACCGUUCACUAUCACUGCGAGAACGACGUCGUCUGUCCAUGUCAGUGUGAUUGUUCCUCCGAUGACACCACUCUGCGAGAACGACGAGAACAGCGUCGCCUUUCUCUGUUACAGCGACUCGUCCUCCGUCGGCCUAAACCCUCUCUUUAGUGUAAGGUUAAUCUUAAUCUCAGCUUUGACGUGUUUGGUGAUUGCAGUCUCAUUUGCAGUAACAGAAAAGCAUAUAAGAUUUUAAUCAUUUUAUGAUCAUUCUGAUACCACUUAUAGAUUUUUAAGGCAAUGUGCUAUUGAAGCAUCUGCACUGUGAUGUUAAGUGUCAUGAUAUUGCUCAAUUGCUGAUAGGGUAGGAUGGAGCUAGACAUUUGAGACUUUGCAAAAUUGAGUUUAUACCUACUAGUAUUAGAUCAUCAAUUAGUUGAGAGUUUGUAGGAGGUCAGGUUUUAUACUUGGUGAGAAACAUCGGCUCAUCUGUAUUUGUAAGGAAGAUUUAAUUGAAAGGAGUUGUGUAUGGAUUGCUUAUUUGUUUAUCUUUGCUCUGUUAAUUGUUAAUAUGUUAUGAUAUGCUGCUGUGUCUAUGCUGAUGUGCUUAUGCUACUGUGUGUCUAUGCUACUGUGUCUAUGCUAUUGUCUUAUGUUGUUUUGUUGGAUUAUUAUGAUUAGGAUGAGUUCAAGUGCGACAUCUACUGAACCUAGUGUUGAAUCAACUAAGCCUGAAAAAUUAGAUGCUCCUCUAUCAAGGAUAAAGGAUGAUGCCAAUGCAUGCGUGCCUUGCUCUUAUGUAUUUUGAAUAUCUCAGUUAUGGGGUUUUAGGCAGUUGGUGUUAUUAUAGGGUUAGGAAAGUCGGAUUUUCAUUCAGUUUGAUGAAUGUGUUGAAUUAGAUAAAACUAUUUAGUAAUCAUCCUUUAGAUUAAAUAUUGACUCUCUUUUAUGUUAUUUGUUACAGUUAUGCAAUUGCUUAAAUUUAGAGCAUUAUUUAAGCAAUGUGAUAAAUUUAUUCAUAUUUGAGCAUUUUUUUAUUAAUUAGAAAUAUACAAAUAAGUAAUUAUAUUUGCCGUGUCUAAGCCGUGUCGAAAAUGUAGUCUUUGAGUUUUGCCGUGUCGCCGUGUCAGUACGUAUCGUGUCGCCGUAUCCGUGUCCGUGUCCAUGUAACAUAGGCUCAUUCCAAUGAUUCUUAUGCAAAAGACAUUAUUANNNNNNNNNNNNNNNNNNNNCUCUCUCUCUCUCUCUCUCUCUCUCUCUCUCUCCUCUCUCUCUCUCUCUCUCUCUCUCUCUCUCUCUCUCUCUCUCUCUCUCGGUGUACGACGAUGCAAGGUUGAAGACGCAGCCUCCUACUGAGUCGACGAGACCGCGCUCGUGGUCGUGAUUCUCCUCAACAGCGACAUCGAUUUUGGCGGCACCUCUCGGAGAUGAUCCUCAUCUGCCAGAACCUCUGCAACAAUCUCUAGAGCCCUAACGAGCACAUCCGGGGCGUCACGCUCCAGUUCCUCUACUGGUUGAGCAAGUUGGAGAUUGUCCGGCCGUUGAUUUCAUCGAUUUUGGCCAAUCUAGUCAGAGAUUGAGGUCUGUGUUUAGUGCAAACAUGGAUAACGUUCUUCUUCUCCUUUUUUUAUCGGAGAUCGUGUUUUUGUUUUUGUUUUGGUCAGAGAGAUUGUGGUUUUUUCCCCUUUUUUUUUCAAUAUAAUGGUUAUUAAAUGAUAGUAUCUUGAUUAUUGGAGUAAUUAGUCUAUUAUUGGGAGGUAAGAAGUAUCUAGUGGAGGUCAAUAAACAUUUAUUGACCCCAAUAUUGCUUUUAUAAAUUUUUUUUGAGAUGUAGGGAUUUGCCUUAGAGGUAAAAACUUCCUUUUUAACUCGAUUACUAGGAAUCAUUAACUGAUUAUUGAGGUUAAGUAACUGAUUAUUGAGGGUCAGUAAGUGAUUAUUGGGGUUCAGUAACUGAUUAUUGGGGGUUAAUAACUGAUUAUUGGGGGUCAUUUUGAGAGUCAGUAACCGAGUUAUUGGUGAUCAGAAUCCAGCAACCGGAAAAAAUCUGAGUUACUGGGGGUCAGUAACUAAGUUACCGGUUAUCGGAAUCAGGCGACCGGAGAAAAUAUGAGUUACUAGGAGUCAAUAACGGCGACCGAAGAAAUUUCUGGCAACCGGGGACCGGAAUCCGGCGACCGGCAACCAGAGUCCGGCGGCGGGUGACCGGAGUCCGGUGAGAUUCCGGCCAAGUAUUCUCUCUCUUCCACUUUCUCUCUCUAUACAUGUUGAAGUGGUGAGAGUAAAAUUGUCUUAAAAAUAUAUAAAAAUUAUUUUUUAUUAUAACAUUAGUAAAGAUUUGUGCAUAAAAAAUGUUACCUUAUAUUGGAAUGAGCUCAUGAAAAAGAUUAACAUUAAAAUGGGGAAUAAGAGGUUUAAAUUAGUAUUAAAUUGACAUUUUCCCUUUAAAAUAAUAACAGAACCAUCAAUGCCGUGAUAGUCCCUUAAUAUUUGGUGGCUAAUUAGUAAUGCAUUCAUGGUAGUUGUGCUUAUUUUGUGCAUGUAUUCUAAUUCUAUCACUUGCAAAAUCGUUGUGGAAGGUUAAGAGGAGAAAACAGAAAAUGGGGCAGCAUGCAUCUCAUUUUAUUUCCGAUCAUAUUUUCAUAUCAUAGACGUUCACUAUUUAGAUAUACAUGAGUUGAUCAUCUCUACAAAAUUUCAACUAAUUUAGUUAUCAUUAAGGUAUCGAAAAUGUAUUAAAUCAAUGAACGAACCGAAUCUGUUCAUCCUGAACUGUACGUUCUAUUAGUUCUAAAUCACAGUUUUGAAUGUCUUAAUGAUUAUCAACUUGGCUGAAAAUUUAUAUAGAUGAUCUACUGAUAUAUAUACCUAAAAUAUGAACGGUUGAGAUGAGAAAAUAUGAUCGAAAGUGGGACAAAUAAUGAAAUCCGUACCUUAGAUAAGGUAAGGAGGUCCUUACCUGAUCAAGAUUGUGUGUGUGUGUCUAUAGAGUUUAGGGUUUAGAGUUUUAGGGUGUCAUGAAGAUAUCAUACAUCCUAAUCUCUCUGAAGCAGCAUUGCUUUUCCCACCGAGAGAUGACUUGCCUGAAAAGUAUGCCGGUCAGAUGGAAGGGUUAUGGUUUGCCGGAAAGAAUGUUGCUACAAGGAGAUUUGUAUUUGGUGCGAAAGCCAUAUCUUCAAUUCAAGAUGAAGCGAAGAGCGAGUCUGUGCCCAAGCCAUCACAAGUUCAGGC